rnacentral:rRNA from 1 species
AUGUCUGUUCCAAAAGAUCAAGGAGGUAUGGGCUUCCGAGAUAUACACUGUUUCAACCUGACGCUAUUAGCUAAACAAGCGUGGCGUCUUCUCGAUAAUCCAGAAUCUUUAUGUGCAACCAUCUUGAGAGCUAAAUAUUUCCCUGAGGGAGAUUUGACGAACGCAAGUUUAAAGAAGGGAUCCUCCUUUACUUGGCUUAUGAUGUCCGCGGGAGUGAACUCUUUGAGAAAUGGUUAUAUCUGGCGAGUUUAA